CUUUCAAUUUAUUAAAAUAUUUACUAUCACUUUAAUCCGUUUCUCAUCUUCUUGCUCCCAUCCUACAUAUAUUUUUAAACGGUUAACUAGUUUGUUGUUGUAAAGUGUUGACUAGAAGUAUUUAAAAACUUAAUAUUUAUUUUAGUUGAGGAUAAAUUCAUUAUUGAAAAUAUAAUUUCUGUUUUAUGUCUGGUUUAUGCGUAUAAGAAGGACAGUAAGGUUAAUUAUAUGUAUAAAAGAAAUUAAAAAGAUAAUAUAGUAAGUAUAUAAGGUGAAGUGGGAAAAUCCCAGUGACCCACCCUAACAAAGCAGGGACGACGGGCACAUGGCCGUCCUACGACGACCAUCGCGGGGUAGAGGCCUGACGUCCGGGCCAUAAAACAACCCUAGGGCCUCAAGUUUCGCGGGGACUAGGAAACCUCGCGGAACGGGAAGAGGGCAUUCGUUUAGAGACCUUUGGAAAAGGCGUUCGUCUACAGACCUUGGAAAGGCAUCCUUCUCUCGAGGACACUAUUUCGCCCACGGAUUCGGCAUAUAUUUAAAAUAUAUAGUAUUUUGAAAUCGAACUUAGCUAGCGUGUCAAGCAUUUUUCUACCUCGUCUUACAAAUCUCUUCAUAUUUUAUAAAAUAUAAUCUUUUGUAUCUUUUAAUUA